ACCCCCCUAUUGGCCCUCAAGAUAAGACUAUAAGCAAUAAAACCUACAGGGUUAAAAUUUAAAUAACAUGGCGGCGAGCUCAUAUUUCAAAGGAACCUACCAGGUAAAUGAUAACCCGCAAUAUAUCCUUACUUUAUUUAAAAGUUUUUAUACCGCCGUCUAGUAGCCUUUUAGGAAGAUUACUGAAUGUAUAAUAUACAAGAAGACAGGUCAUGGCAUAGCAUAUGAUAAAGACAUGAGGUGGGUUACACUAAGAGUUUCUUUCGGAAGACCAACUCAAGCUUGUCUUAAGAUGGAUUCGAAAGUAAUAAUUAAUAUAAAUACUUUAUGAAUUUUUGUGAAUUCGUGUACACACCG
rnacentral:rRNA from 1 species